CAGUCGAGCGAAUGACGAGAAGCUUGCUUCUCUGAUUUAGCGGCGGACGGGUGAGUAACACGUGGGCAACCUGCCCUACAGAUUGGGAUAACUCAGGGAAACCUGGGCUAAUACCGAAUAAUCCUUCGAAUCACAUGUUUUGAAGUUGAAAGGCGCUUCGGCGUCACUGUAGGAUGGGCCCGCGGUGCAUUAGCUAGUUGGUGGGGUAACGGCCUACCAAGGCAACGAUGCAUAGCCGACCUGAGAGGGUGAUCGGCCACAUUGGGACUGAGACACGGCCCAAACUCCUACGGGAGGCAGCAGUAGGGAAUCUUCCACAAUGGACGAAAGUCUGAUGGAGCAACGCCGCGUGAGUGAUGAAGGUUUUCGGAUCGUAAAACUCUGUUGUAAGGGAAGAACAAGUACGUUAGGAAAUGAACGUACCUUGACGGUACCUUAUUAGAAAGCCACGGCUAACUACGUGCCAGCAGCCGCGGUAAUACGUAGGUGGCAAGCGUUGUCCGGAUUUAUUGGGCGUAAAGCGCGCGCAGGUGGUUUCUUAAGUCUGAUGUGAAAGCCCACGGCUCAACCGUGGAGGGUCAUUGGAAACUGGGGAACUUGAGUGCAGAAGAGGAUAGUGGAAUUCCAAGUGUAGCGGUGAAAUGCGUAGAGAUUUGGAGGAACACCAGUGGCGAAGGCGACUGUCUGGUCUGUAACUGACACUGAGGCGCGAAAGCGUGGGGAGCAAACAGGAUUAGAUACCCUGGUAGUCCACGC
rnacentral:rRNA from 1 species